AAGCUCGUAGUUGAAUUUCGGGGUUAGUAGGUUGGUCAUGCCUCCGGUAUGUACUGGUCUCACUGAUUCCUCCUUCCUGAUGAACCGUAAUGCCAUUAAUUUGGUGUUGCGGGGAAUUUGGACUGUUACUUUGAAAAAAUUAGAGUGUUUAAAGCAAGCUAACGCUUGAAUACAUUAGUAUGGAAUAAUGAAAUAGGACGUUCGAUCCUAUUUUGUUGGUUUCUUAGGAUUGACGUAAUGAUUAAUAGGGAUAGUUGG
rnacentral:rRNA from 1 species